rnacentral:lncRNA from 1 species
GCACCAGUUUUAAUAUUAAUACUGUGUUAAAAAGGAUAUAUUACAGUACUGUUAUUUUUUUAAAUCAACAAUGUUAAAUGCCAUAUGAUUUAGGACUGUUUCAUGUUUAUAAUAACGUUUAAAGAUAAAUAGAUUGAUGUAACAAACAGAUGUAUCUCCAACGAUAAUUAGAGUUAUGGUGACGAGGUCUAUUAACAGAAUCUUAUUAAUAGAAUUUUAUGUGUUGGGGGAAUUAUUUUGGGAUAAUUAUGUUUUGAUACAUCAUUAGUUUAAAUAGCAAUACUUAAAAUAAUACAAAUAGAUUUACAUUUAAAUAGAAUUCCAUUAAAUCAACAUGACAAACCUAAUGGAAAGAAAUGUUCAAAAGCAAUAAAGGCUUGAGACUGCUAUUGGAGAAAUAGGCAUGCUUAAUCACUUUAUUGCAAUCCUGUCAUAUAAAUCUGAUACUUUUUUGGGAUGAAAAUUCCUGAAAAGUAACUAAUUUUCUGGUCUAUGGUAUCAUUUUUUAAAAUAAAGAAUAAAAGUAAUGAGGCAGUUUUUCAUUACUUUAUAAGUAGGAAUAUUAUGAACAUUUUUUACAAAUAUCCACUUCUUCACCCCUUAUUCUCUCCCAACCAUAACUGCCCAAUUAAAUACAGUUUAAAGAGAAUAAGAACUAAAACUUAUUAUAAAGUAUUUGAGGCACAUGCCACAACUAAACUUGCACUGACACCAAAUUGUCAUUCUUAUUGACUAAAUAUUUAUCAUUAAAUUGUUAAGAAAUACUUCUGAAAUCCAAUAUAUUGAAAUUAAUUUUUAAUAAGAAGUACAAAAAGAUAAUGUUAAGUGAUAUGUGCAGGUAAUCAAUAAUUUUUUGUCAACAGCAAGCAAAAAGCGGCACAUUCAAACAAAGUUUAACUUAAUUCUCUUACACUUAAAAAAAAAGGCUAUAAAUUUUCCAAUUAAAACAAAGUCACAAAUGAAAGAAUACUAUCACCCUUAGUUAUAUCCUAAUAGCUAGAAACUUACCAGAGAAGCACCCAGAAAUUUCUGUGCAAUGUCACUAUUCAAAGGUCAGUGUAUGUGCACGUUUCAUGCAAUGACUCUUCAUGUGGCCUUUGCUGUUAAUUGGUGAGAAGAAAUAUAAGUCCCUCUGCUUUCUCUGUUAAUUAGGUGACUCAUCAAAACAUUUUCUAAAGAUGUUUCUGGACACCCCCAACAGACAAUAAGGUUAUCACAUUCAAAGGAGACUAGGACUGCUUACCUGAGAUUCUUCUCAACCUAAAUUGUGUUUAUUCCCAACAUUCUCAAAGGGAGGGUCCAACCAAUUUUCCUGUCUUAAUAAAGUCUAUUAAAUCUCACAGUAAGUUGAGACAUAGGCACCCAUAAUUGCCAGGGAUCAAGCAUUUGGCUGCAAGAUUUCAAUCUCAUGCUAUUACCUUUGGGCUUCAAUUUCCCACAAGCCUUCAGUUUUAUUGAGAAGUUUUAAUCUUAGUUUAUCCCCACAAAACUAUUGGCCCAAACCAAUCAAAAAUAAUAAGCACCUAUUAUAUCCCAGUCUUUAUGAUAGAUGCUACAUACAAUAACCAAAGUAAUGCAGUCCUAAACCCCUAGGAGAUCUGUUUCACAAACUCUUAAGAGUUAUUUAUUUCCUUUAGAAAAAGAACAAGGUGUUUUUUGCAAACUUUGCUUUCUAGUGGGAUCAAUGCUUAUUUUUUUGUCAUAGGAGCAGAAGUAUUUUUAAUACAUCACUUUAAUUGGAGCAGUGAGAGGUUAGUAAGAAUGUGUCUUGUCAUCUGUCUGGGGAACUUCGUGUAGAAACUCCCUUCACUAAUGCAGAUCAGUAAUUCAUCUACUAUGCAUCUUAGGAUCACAAAUACAAAUGGUAGUUGCUAAGAACCUGGUGACCAAAGUGAUAGUAUUUGUUAGAGGUAGGAUCUGAACACUAGUCUUCAAUACCCCUCUCCCCAGUAUGCCAUAGUAGAGCUAAACCAGAAAAUUAGAUUUCACAAAAAUCCUUUGUAUUGAGAGAGAUAAGAGGUUAAAAUAUCAAGUUGAAAUCAAGAAAUGAACCAAAGAGAGUGAAAGGUGGGGUUCUUCACACCAAUAAUGGCAGUACAAUUCUUUUGUUUUUCUUCCUUAAGUCUCUUAUAAAUGUAAAAGCACAGUAUUGGAAUUCAUCUGGGGGCUCAGAUUCAAUUCAUGAUUGUUUUUUGAACAUGAUAAGUAAGCACAGAGGAAAUAUAACAAGCAAAUUGCUGACAAAUUUGUGUCCAAAUGAAAAACAACUUAAAUGUGAAAUAGUUAAUAAAAUUUAUAUUUAAAAUAACUUCCUGAAUGUUAUUACCAACUUGGAAAUGACAAAAUUAAAUGGCAACACAGAAUGAGAAACAAAACCCUAACCUAUGCAAAACUUCCACAUAAAUGGAAUUCUUUUUUCAUUUCUCUAUUCCAAGAAGUAGAUUUUGUUUCACAGGAGAACAAUGUUGUCUUUUUAGAUACUCUGAGGUUGCAAAUAGCUGUGGUAAUAUUAAGUUGCAAUAUUUAAAAUAUAUUAAUAUGCGAGCUAGUGAAAGCUCAGCAAUUUCCUCAGUUUGCGUAUACUAGAUACUAGGUGGCUUUAGGCAUGCAUUAAAUAGAAAUUCCUGGUUGCCAACCAUAAAUACUACUCCAUGAGGAGAAAAACCCCAUUGGAUCUCAAACCAACCAAUUAUAUUGGCCUUUCCAUGAGCAUUUGACAAUGAGUUGGGUACUCAGUUUCUACACACUUUUAAGAAUUUCAUAAGGGAAUAUUCUUCAAAAUGAUCUCUGGCAUUCUUUAGGAGGCAAUUAUGUUAUCCUGUUGACUUAUUGUAAUUAGAAAUGUAAACGUAUGAGGAAAAAAAUAUAUUCCAGUUAGAUAUGAUGGAUUUAGGUAUUAUGACUAAUUCCCUAAGGCUUUCUAGAGUCUAUUGAAGACAAUAACAAUGAAUAUUUUCAUUCAUUGUUUCUCUUUCUAAAGUUA